ensembl:lncRNA
UGGGGGGUUUCUGGGGUUUGGGAUGGAUUUGGGAUGGAUUUAUGGGGGUUUGGGAUGGAGUUAUGGAGGUUUGGGGUGGAGUUAUGGGGGUUUGGGGUGGGAGUCUUCUGCUCCAUUGAUGCCAACAUGACCUUCGCCGAGAUCGUCACGCCCUUCAACAUCGACAGGCUGCAGGAGCUGGUGCGCAGGGGGAACAGUCAGUACCCGGGGGCCAAGUACAUCAUCCGGGACAACGGGGACCGGAUCGACCUGCGCUUCCACCCCAAGCCCAGCGACCUCCACCUGCAGAUUGGGUACAAGGUGAGCACCCAAAACCCCCAAAAUCCCAAAAAUCCCAAAUAUGGGGGACCCUAAAAUCCCAAACCCAGCCACCUGCAGAUCGGGUACAAGGUGAGCACCCCAAAAUCCCCAAAAUAUGGGGGACCCUAAAAUCCCAAACCCAGCGACCUGCACCUGCAGAUCGGGUACAAGGUGAGCACCCCAAAAACCCCAAAAACCCCAAACCCAGUGAUCUGCACCUGCAGAUCGGGUACAAGGUGAGCACCAAAAACCCAAAAACCCCAAAAAACCAAACCCAAAAACUCCAAAAACCCAGUGACCUGCACCUGCAGAUCGGAUACAAGGUGAGCACCCCAAAAUCCCAAAAUCCCAAAAUCCCCAAAAUCCCCAAGCCCAGCGACCUGCACCUGCAGAUCGGGUACAAGGUCAGCACCCCAGAAACACAAAAACCCAAAUCUGGGGCACCCCAAAAACCCCAAACCCAGUGACCUGCACCUGCAGAUCGGCUACAAGGUGAGCACCCAAAAUCCCCAAAUACCCCAAAAACCCAAAAACCCCAAGCCCAGCGACCUCCACCUGCAGAUUGGGUACAAGGUGAGCACCAAAAACCCCAAAAACCCCAAAAUCCCCAAAAUCCCCAAGCCCAGCGACCUGCACCUGCAGAUCGGGUACAAGGUGAGCACCCCAAAAACCCAAAAACCCCAAAAACCCAGAAUCCCCAAACCCAGCGACCUCCACCUGCAGAUCGGCUACAAGGUGAGCACCCAAAAACCCAAAAAUCCCAAAAGACCAAAAUCCCAAAAACCCAGUGACCUGCACCUGCAGAUUGGCUACAAGGUGAGCACCAAAAACCCAAAAACCCCAAACCCAGCCACCUGCACCUGCAGAUUGGGUACAAGGUGAGCACCCCAAAACCCCAAAAAUCCCAAAAACCCCAAACCCAGCCACCUGCACCUGCAGAUCGGGUACAAGGUCAGCACCCAAAAACCCCAAAAUCCCCAAAAAUCCCAAAAACCCAGUGACCUGCACCUGCAGAUCGGGUACAAGGUGAGCAUCUAAAAACCCCAAAAAACCAAAAUAUGGGGGACCCUAAAAUCCCAAACCCAGCCACCUGCAGAUUGGGUAUAAGGUGAGCACCAAAAACCCCAAAAAUCAUAAAAGCCCAGCGACCUGCACCUGCAGAUCGGCUACAAGGUGAGCACCAAAAACCCAAAAUCCCAAAAAUCCCAAACCCAGCCACCUCUACCUGCAGAUUGGGUACAAGGUGAGCACCCAAAAACCCCAAAUACCCCAAAAUCCCUAAACCUCAGAAUCCCCAAACCCAGCGACCUGCACCUGCAGAUCGGCUACAAGGUGAGCACCAAAAACCCCAAAAACCCCAAAUAUGGGGGACCCUAAAAUCCCAAACCCAGCCACCUGCAGAUUGGAUACAAGGUCAGCACCCAAAAACCCCAAAAUCCCAAAAAACCAAAAUCCCCAGAAUCCCCA